UACGGGGGGGGCAAGCGUUGUUCGGAAUUACUGGGCGUAAAGGGCUCGUAGGUGGCCAACUAAGUCAGACGUGAAACCCCUCGGCUUAACCGGGGAACUGCGUCUGAUACUGGAUGGCUUGAGUUUGGGAGAGGGACGCGGAAUUCCAGGUGUAGCGGUGAAAUGCGUAGAUAUCUGGAGGAACACCGGUGGCGAAGGCGGCGUCCUGGACCAACACUGACACUGAGGAGCGAAAGCCAGGGGAGCAAACGGG
rnacentral:rRNA from 1 species